CGCAGCGUAGGGAAGAGGUCAUCCCGCGUGGCUCAUAACCACGAUGUCGCAGGUUCGAAUCCUGCCGCUGCAACCA
rnacentral:tRNA from 1 species